CCUACGGGAGGCAGCAGUGAGGAAUAUUGGACAAUGGGCGCAAGCCUGAUCCAGCCAUGCCGCGUGCAGGGAGAAGCAUCUAUGGUGUGUAAACUGCUUUUGUACAGGAAGAAACACUCCCUCGUGAGGGAGCUUGACGGUACUGUAAGAAUAAGGAUCGGCUAACUCCGUGCCAGCAGCCGCGGUAAUACGGAGGAUCCAAGCGUUAUCCGGAAUCAUUGGGUUUAAAGGGUCCGUAGGCGGUUUGGUAAGUCAGUGGUGAAAGCCCAUCGCUCAACGGUGGAACGGCCAUUGAUACUGCUAGACUUGAAUUAUUGUGAAGUAACUAGAAUAUGUAGUGUAGCGGUGAAAUGCUUAGAGAUUACAUGGAAUACCAAUUGCGAAGGCAGGUUACUAACAAUAUAUUGACGCUGAUGGACGAAAGCGUGGGGAGCGAACAGGAUUAGAUACCCUGGUAGUCCACGCCGUAAACGAUGGAUACUAGCUGUUGGGAGUAAUCUCUAGUGUCGUAGACGAAGUAGAGUAAGUAUACCACCGUCGGGAGGUACGUUACGUCGAAGAAGUAGAACGUACGUAAGUAGUAAGUUAGUACGGACGUAGAGACGUUACGACCGACGGACGACGACGAGGGAGGAGGGAG
rnacentral:rRNA from 1 species